rnacentral:antisense_RNA from 1 species
UGUACGAAACAAUAAGCUGGUUAAUAUUGGCCACGACUAUGGCAUUCCAACUGGGAACAAAGAAGAGAAAUAUAUUCAGCUAGAUAUAUGUGAUGCUGUGCGAAGCCAAUACGUAGAUAUAUUGGUAGGCUCAACUGGACUCGAACCAGCGACCCCCACCA